CAUCCUGCUUGGCCGGCUCCAGAGCAAGCAGUUCAUGUUGGGACGCCGCGUCAUGCUAGGCCGUCGUCCGAUUGGGCGGUGACGCCAAAUACGCCGCUAGCAUCGAUGGGGAAUUUUCCAGCUCGUGUUCUCCGUCCACCGGGGAAGAGAUCCUCGUUUCGCGAGCGUGGAAGGCAUGUGCGUCUGCGCAGAGAUGGGUAUGUUCUAUCUCCCCUACUUUGUCCUCUGUGUUGUUUCUGCUUGUCAACGAGUAUGCCGCGAGAUUGGAGCCGUUGUAUUGGACCCGUACGACAUGUUUUGUUCACGAUUCGUAUGCUGGGUCCUGCUAGAUGCCAUAUUCUGUCAGUCGUUGGCAUUGGAGUCGCGCUCACAUGUUUGUAAUUUGAUUAUGCGGAGGUUGAUGUAGUGCUCGAUUUUGUUUGUCUCCAGGCAGUCAGUGAUGUUGUGCUCAUUUUGUUUUUUCUGAAGCCUUUUUGCUGCAGGUGGUGAUGCUUGAUUUUGGAGGUAUUUAGCUAGGUGUAUGGGCAGAGGGUAGUGAUCCUAGUGCUGUAUUAGUUUUUUUUUUCCAAAGGGGUAGUGAUCUUAGUGCUGUAAAUGUGAGAUUAUUUGCUAGUUUUUUAUCUUCCUUUUAGUGAGGCUGUGAAUUUGUUAGUUUCUGUGUGUGACUUUUAGUGCAUUUUAUGCCACCGAAUAUCUUUGCAUUUCUCCUGUGGAUCAGUUGGUCUGCGAUGAGAGCACGCUGAUAUUUUAGCCAGGUACUCUGAAUCUGAGAUCGUUUUCUAGCCUUUUUAAGUUCUUUUAGUGUGUCUAGGAGUUAGCUUCCGUGUUUUGGGUAUUUAUUCUCAAGCAAAUGCUCUCUUUAAAGAUUGUUUCGCUCUAUUAGGAACUAAUCAUCAUUGACCUUUUGUGGCAUGGAGCUCCAUUAGCUGAUUUUGCUGUCCAAUUUCAUCAAAGAAUAAAUCAUGCAGACAUUGUUCUGCUUCAGUUGCCACCUUUUUUUGAUGCUGAUGUUUAGUUCCUUGCUUGGUUCUAGUUAACCUCCAUACAAUGAUGAAUGUUUUGCAUCAAUCUGAUGUUUGACUUCGAACUGCUCACUAGGUUAACUAGUACUCCCUCUGGUUUUAGACAUUUCAAAGUAAACUAGAUGCACAACAUAGUGGUGAAUGUACACACUAUUUCCCAACAUAGUUUGAUUUAGUACACGUUCUUCAUUUCCCCUUUUGUCUUUGUGUGUCCAGCGGUGUUAUGUUUGAUUAUUUGUUUUCUUUAUGAAAUUUCUCGAUAUUGACGAUGAUUUUACAUGAGUUUAGGCUCUGAUUUGAUUGUGGUUCAGAGUUAGUUUGGCUCUGCCUAGUAUGCUCUGCUCAUAAUCAAGUACUAGCACAGUAUCCUUUAUAGUAUGCUUGCUCUCUUUUGGCUCCCACGUUUACAUCACUUAUGAGUUCCCAAGUAGGGGUUGUGUCAAUACGGCAUAGCAAGAUAAUUUGAGGAGGCUUCCAUGCUUGGAUCGGAUGUAACCAACAAGAGUUUCCCAUUCCGACAUCCAUCCAUCCAAGAAGCAAAAUAAAGUCCUUGCACCCAUAAUUAAUAUCAAUACCACCAUCCAUCUGCUGCCUCACUCUGGUUUUGUACUUCAAAGCACGACUGAACUGACAGCCUGUGUGCACAGUUAGCUGAGUAACCAUGCUCCAGACCUUAACCUCCUGGCAACACCACAUUGUGGAAGGGCAAGACCGUCAAUGCAGUAAGGAAUCUCAACCUUGUCUAAGUCAUGCUUGGAAGUUUUAACCAUCCAGAAUGCACCAAAUGUUGCAGCAGAAUAAUUCCAGGACGGUGUAGUGCAUUGAUUCCAUCAUGAUGCUAGGAAAAAUGAUGGAGCAUAAUACCUCCACUAAUGCUACUUACUGAGAUUUAUUAUUUCUGCGGUUGGUUGUUUCUGAGAUUAUUAUUUUUAAAUUUGUUUCUCAGGGGUUACUUUUCUCAUUUUUGCAUGGGUAUGCAUGUUUUCUCAUGUUGUGAUGUAUCAGAUGUGAGUUGCCGAUGAAGAAUUUUUUAGAAGGAGAAAUCAUUAUGUUUUCUCAUUAUGUUUUCUCUUAAUGUCAAUGUGUUUUAGUAACUUAGUGUCUUUAAGUUUUCUCAUUUUGUCACUCUUUUCUCCGUCUGUUUGCUACUCAAGGUGCUGCACCAAUCAGUAUCUCAUUCAGCAAUUUCUCUUAAUCAUUAUCCUUUUAUAUUCAGCUUUUCAUUUUCUUAUGUUUUCCUAGUUCACUCCGAUAUGUUACUUAUUUCCUCAGGUUGUGAUUGUCUUUUCACUUCCAUCAGUUUCUCUGUCUCUGUCUCUUUAGAAGUCUGAUUCUUCUUCAGUUAUUUUCAGCCGCUGCAGACCUCCUGAAGCCGCAGUCGUUCGUCUCUGUCAGGGCACCACUCCAGCUGCUGCAAUCCUCUUCAAGGCUGAAUUCCUGGGCACCCUGUAUUCCUCGUUGACUGGUUUCAUUCUGAACUACGGCCGCAGUCACUUGUCGCCAUCCAGCAUGAAUCAGGCGCCAACAGCAGCCUCUGAACUCCUCGAGGUACCUCACUCUCUAAUGCGUUUUGUCUCUCUGAUUAUGUAUAAUUCUCGUAUAUAUUUUUGUGUAAUUCAUUCGUAGUAAAUGCAUUAUAUGAAUAUCUCAGUAUGCAUUUCCUUUUUUUAACUCUGUAUAUUUUCCUCACUGUAUAGAUUCGCUUGUACGUAAUGUCGUAUCUACUCAUCUUAGUCUGGGCAUGAAAUAAGUCUUUUUUCCUCACAUGUCAAAUUCGAUUAGUACAUAAGGCCAUAUCUACUCAUCUCAGUGCGGGAAUAAAUCAGACGGACGUGACGCUAAGCACCUCUUUUUCUCUGUCUGGCAUGAAUCAACUGCCAACAUCAACAGCUGAGAAUAUCUGUCUCUUUAAGAUUUGCAUUCUCUUUAACCUCUCUAUUCCUAGUUGUCAAUAUCCAAUCUGACCUAGUUGCUAAACUCUGGAGGUUUUUGUAUCACAUGCCAACAUGAGCCAAUGCACUAGUCGAAUACAUAAGGUAUUCUAUUGGCCUAGUCAAUCAAAUAGUGUAUUUUGGGUGAUCAAAUUGUUGCCAGUCGCUGUAGGUACACAGCAUUUUUCCUGUUGGCAUUUAUCAAAGUUUUCCGAUGCGCCGUGGCAAGGGCAUAUUUGGCAGUAGGUGCAUUGUGAAAGCGCAUCAGGUAUGCAACUGAGUUUCCUAAUCCAGUUGAUAAGGGAAUCGGCGCCAUAGAGUGCAGCGGAACUGCAAGUGGAAGUAGGUUUUCUUGAAGAAUUUCCUUCCCUUUCUUCUUUCCCAGUUCUUCUUUUCCGUCCAUUGUUUGGGGGAUCCUGUCGAUCUGGAUACUGAGAGGAGCAGCGAACGGCUGAAGGGGGUGUUUGGAGUUGGAGUCGCUGCAGCAUGUGAGUUCUUUGCUUGCUGAAGAAGAAGGCCGGGCAGCUGUUUCUAGGCCCACGUGAAUUGUGUUGUGGUAUUCAGGUUGCGUGGGCUUUUUA